CUACGGGGGGCAGCAGUGGGGAAUAUUGGACAAUGGGCGAAAGCCUGAUCCAGCCAUGCCGCGUGUGUGAAGAAGGCCUUCGGGUUGUAAAGCACUUUCAGUGGGGAAGAAAGCCUUGGGGCUAAUACCCUCGAGGAAGGACAUCACCCACAGAAGAAGCACCGGCUAACUCCGUGCCAGCAGCCGCGGUAAUACGGAGGGGGCGAGCGUUAAUCGGAAUUACUGGGCGUAAAGCGCGCGUAGGCGGUCUGAUAAGCCGGUUGUGAAAGCCCCGGGCUCAACCUGGGAACGGCAUCCGGAACUGGCAGGCUAGAGUGCAGGAGAGGAAGGUAGAAUUCCCGGUGUAGCGGUGAAAUGCGUAGAGAUCGGGAGGAAUACCAGUGGCGAAGGCGGCCUUCUGGACUGACACUGACGCUGAGGUGCGAAAGCGUGGGUAGCAAACAGGAUUAGAUACCCCAGUAGUC
rnacentral:rRNA from 1 species